AAGCUGAAACUCCCUUUACUAGGGAAGGAGAAAUCAUUUGGUUUCUAAAUUUUCCCUGGUAGGGUUUUUUUUCUUCAGGGAAACUUUGAACUGGGCUGUACUUUCCUUCCAAACUUUUAAUAUCCCUUCUACGGUUUCAAAGAUCUCCAGAUCUCUCUUGUCUCCAGAGCCCUGGAACCUGCUUCGAGUUUCACUGAGCAGCGGGAGCAAUGGGAGCUCUGCGGCACGGGUCAGGGUGUGGGAGUGAAGAGGUAGUGAUUGCCUGUCAGCCUUCCCCAUGAGAAACAGAUCCACGUCUUUGAGGACCCUCAGCAACUGCAGGAGCCGCACAGUUAGGUGAAUAAGUGGAAGUUUAUCAUUAAAUGCGUUGUUCUGUGGACCUAAUGAGACCUCCUUUCGUACAGUGUGUCCUUGUUGCCUUUUGCUCUCCUUCCCCUGCCUGCGCUCACUACUGAGGAAGAAGCAGCAUCUGCCCUGUGUUGAUAGAGCCUUGGAAAUACUGUUCAUGGAAUCGUAUCCUGUUUCCUUGAACCAGGUGUGAGCAUUCAACAGGAAGCACAGCAUUGAAGAGAAAACGAAACCUUAGGUCUCUACAAGGAAUAUAGAGCUCUCCACAAUGAAGGUUGAAAGCUUUCAAAGAAAAGAUUACUGCCUGAGAGCUCCACAUAUUGAAGAAAACAAGACCUAGCAAAAUGGAGAGCAGCAACACCCAACAAAGACUGUGAAAGCACCGUGUGUGCCGUUGCCACUGGAACAGCAGCUUCGUGGGAGGUAGCCGGGAAUGGAGCCUAGCUUUCCUGGAGGAAGAGUUUAAUUGCUGUUCAUCUAGAGUGAGCAACAGUUAACCAGUCAGGGUGAAUGGUUUUCUUAAAUGAACAUGGGGAAUUACAAGUCAUAGGAAGCCUGGCCGUAUUUCCAGAAGAGAACAGAGUAUUUGUCUACAGUGGUCUGUGAAAAUGUCAACUUCCCUUAGCAAAAGGAGAAGAAUUACAUGAAUUUUAAAAUAUCACAAACAUUUCAAUAUAUGUACUGUGUAUACCAUGGCUGAGACAUUUCUUGCUGGUGGUGGAAGCAGAAUUUUAUGUUUAUUCUUGAUGGUUCUGAGUGAUAAAUGUCAAUAAAAAGUGAUCCCAGCUGGCAGAAUUCUAAAUCUCUGAAAAGCAUAUUCAGCUUGAAGAAAUUGAUGGAACAAAUAUUUUUCAUAAGCCCUUGGUUUUCUACUUUUAUCUACAGUUUCUCAAUACAGAUCUGUAAUAUUUUUCCCACGCAUUUGGAAAAUGUGAAUUUCUCCUCAGAUGACUUCCUAACCUUUUUCCACCACCACUUCACCCUCAUUACUUUUCUGUCCUGAUACUUUACCUUUCUAAAGUUUUGAGUCAAGGAGUUAUCUUUGUGAAAUGCCUAGUCAAUCAUUUAAGGAUUACAAAGGCUCAUGUUUGGAGCUCUUUUUCUAGCAGAGAUUAUUAAAAAUGGACACAAGAGAAAGC